CCUACGGGUGGCAGCAGUGGGGAAUAUUGCGCAAUGGGCGAAAGCCUGACGCAGCGACGCCGCGUGAGGGAUGAAGGUCUUCGGAUCGUAAACCUCUGUCAGCAGGGAAUAACAGUCACUGUGCUAAUCAGCAGUGAAUUGACGGUACCUGCAAAGGAAGCACAGGCUAACUCCGUGCCCGCAGCCGCGGGAAUACGGAGGGUGCGAGCGUUGAUCGGAAUUACUGGGCGUAAAGCGCUCGUAGGCGGUAUGUCAAGUCAAGGGUGAAAGCCCCGGGCUAAACGUGGGAAGUGCCUUUGAAACUGGCAAACUGGAGUGUGUGAGAGGAUAGUGGAAUUCGAGGUGUAGGAGUGAAAUGCGUAGAUAUCUGGAGGAACAUCAGUGGCGAAGGUGACUAUCGGGCACAUAACUGACGCUGAGGAGCGAAAGCGUGGGUAGCAAACAGGAUUAGAUACCCCUGUAGUC
rnacentral:rRNA from 1 species